rnacentral:rRNA from 1 species
CCCUUAGAUGUUCUGGGCUGCACACGUGCUACACUGGCAGGUUCAGCGAGCUUCAUGCCCUGAUCUGAAAGGAAUGGGAAAUCUUUUCAAAACCUGCCGUGCUUGGGAUAGAUGUUUGCAAUUAUUCAUCUUCAACGAGGAUUGCCUUGUAAGCGCAUGUCAUCAGCAUGCAUUGAAUACGACCCUGUAUUCUGUACACACCGCCCGUCGCACCUACCGAUUGGAUGGUCCGGUGAAGCCUCGGGAUUGUGGUUCUUGCCGCUUUAUUGUGGCGUGACCGCGAGAACUUGUCUAAACCUUAUCAUCUAGAGGAAGGUGAAGUCGUAACA